ensembl:snRNA U6 U6 spliceosomal RNA
UUUGGCAGCACGUAUACUGUUAAAAAAAAAAAAAAUUGGAAUGACACAGUGAAGAUUAGCAUGGCCCCUGUGCAAGGAUGUCAUGCAAAUUCGUGAGGAAUUCCAUAUUUAA